rnacentral:misc_RNA from 1 species
AAGUCGUAACAAGGUUUCCGUAGGUGAACCUGCGGAAGGAUCAUUAUCGAGAGACGGGGUCUAACCGGCCCCAACUCCUCACCCUUGAACGUCAAAGCAUAGUUGCUUUGGUGGGUCGAAUAGAACUCGCCAGAGUCCCAUAUAAAUCCUGCUAUCGGUGAUCUCUGAGUGAUUAUUCAAUUGAAAAAAAAAAACUUUCAACAACGGAUCUCUUGGUUCUG